rnacentral:rRNA from 1 species
UACGUAGGGUGCGAGCGUUGUCCGGAAUUAUUGGGCGUAAAGAGCUCGUAGGCGGUGUGUCACGUCGGCCGUGAAAACCUGCAGCUUAACUGUGGGCGUGCGGUCGAUACGGGCAUCACUGGAGUUCGGCAGGGGAGACUGGAAUUCCUGGUGUAGCGGUGAAAUGCGCAGAUAUCGGGAGGAAUACCGAUGGCGAAGGCAGGUCUCUGGGCUGACACUGACGCUCAUGCACGAAAGCGUGGGGAGCAAACAGA